GAAAGUUCCUGAAAGAUGCAAGGAAACUUCCUCUGUGGGCUCCACCUUCAAACUUUUACAACACUUUUAGCAUUGUCUUCCUUUUCUCCCCUUCAAAGUUUAUUGCAGUAAAUAACACAAUAUUAUUCUUUAUUUUGGCAUUCUCUACUAUGUGCUUGGUCUUGCUUUCAGAUAGGCGUCGGCAGUUCAUCCUUCAAGAUGUUCUCCACUUUAUUCUAUUAUUUGUUUGCCAUACUAUGUGACCCUUUUAUGUAUUGGGGCUGGGAUCAGUUAUUUUAUGGUAGCUAUUCGCAAGGCGGGAAAUUGAACUGGCAUUUAUUCUCUAGCUAUGAGUUUCAUGAGUGGAUUAUACAAGGUGGUCAAAAGUUGAGAAGCUCCCUUAACCGAUACAAGUGAAUCUGUUAUGAUCAUUUAGCUUCAAUGGAGAAGUAGGGAGCAAAACGUCCACAACAAGCUUGAACAAUACUCCUCCUCCCUCCUUAGUAUGAUGAGGAUAUGUUGGGUCUUUUACUUUUGCAGCUGUUGGAUUUUCAAUAAUACUCCUCCUCCCUCCUUUGUAUUAAGGCUUUGUGUUAAAUCUUCAGGUGCUGUUAUGCAGGGUUCUUUGUUAAGGCUUUUGGAUGGAUGCAGCUGUUGUUUUGUAUUUUGUAUCUUUAUAUGCAUUUUUAUUAUGAAUUGUAAGAUGUUAUAUUUGUU